AAGUCGUAACAAGGUUUCCGUAGGUGAACCUGCGGAAGGAUCAUUAAUGAAUUCUUAUUCAUCCAUGUAUGUGAACUCGCUUAAGCCGGAUUGCCUCUAACGCUUAACUGCGCUGGGGUUUGAAGGCGGCGGCUCUGAAGAUUGGUGGACUUUGAGCCAUCAGUCGUUUUUACCCACCCUCUGAUCAUUAUUAUGACUGAAAUCACUUUUGUUGAGUGUAAAAACAAAACUUAAGGACAACUUUUAGCAACGGAUCUCUAGGCUCUC
rnacentral:misc_RNA from 1 species